UGCGACAAAGGAAAAAGAAUCAUUCAUUCUGUAUAAGAUUUCAUUUGACAGAAUGGAAAAUAGUACAAUCCAAAAAAUUGGAGAAAUGAAUAGCAUAAGGCACCAUAGUGAAAUGACAUGCAUUCCGGAUAAAAGGUACGUUGCAGUAGCAAAAAACAACAUCAUUGUUAUGUUCAGCAAUACCAACCAUACCACAACGGAUAUUCCAGUACCCUACCAAACGGCAGAUAUACGUUUUGGAUCGAAUCAAAAUGGAAAUCACCUUUAUGCGCUAGAGACAAAAGGAAACGAGAUCUUUCGAUUAAGUAUAGACGGAAAAUCAUUUACGACAAUAUAUGAGGAAAAACAGUAUACAUUGUCAACAAUAGACUCUGAUGCAGAAAAGAUUUAUGCUAUAGCCAACAA